CGCGGUAACUUGACCGUGCGAAGGUAGCAUAAUCAAUAGUCUUUUAAUUGGAGGCUGGAAUGAAUGGUCGGACAAGGGGUAGUCUGUCUUUUAUGUAAAGAUUGAAUUUAACUUUUAAGUGAAAAGGCUUAAAUUUUCUAAAGGGACGAUAAGACCCUAUAAAACUUUAUAGAGUUUGAAAUAUUUUUUAAAUUUGGGUGUAAUGAAAUUUAUUUUUGCUUUAUUACGUUGGGGCGACGAGGAUAUAAAUUGUAACUGUUUGUUGGUUAAAAUAAAAGUAUUUAGAGAGGUUGAUCCUUUAUUAUGGAUUAUAAGAACAAGUUACUUUAGGGAUAACAGCGUGAUUUUUUCUGAGAGUUCUUAUCGACGAAAGUAGUUGCGACCUCGAUGUUGAAUUAAAGUUUUCCCAAGGUGCAGAAG
rnacentral:rRNA from 1 species